CUCAGCACCGAGCGAGCGACGUUCGUGAAGCUUUCGUUUUGAGCGGCCAGACUCUGCUGUUCUCAAGCCUGGGAGGCACAGAGAAGCAAGACUUCCGCAUCGGGGGAGGAUAGGGCUUGAGGGCCGCCAGCCCAGACUCGCUUCACAAAUGUGAGAACUAUGACAGUCCAGCGAGUAAAGGCCAAGAGUAAACUCCAGGUUUCCCCAGAGUAACGCUCUCACAUUUUAAAAGUUCCUCACGUUCCCACCGCUCUUGUCCCUCUUUCUGAGAGAUACAGGCCAAAAGGUGGGCUCUCCCUGUUUUUUUCCUUUUAAGCAUUUUUUUUCAACUUGAAGUCACUGUUAGGUUUCGUUGAGGACCCUACCAACUUUUAAUAUUUGAAAAUGGGGUUGGAAUAUAUUUGUGUCUCAUCAAAUCAGCAACAGUACUGUGUGUGGAAAUGCCACCAUUACGGGCAUCCGCAACCUGUGAUUUAAUUUUUAAAGUAAAUCAAUGGAUUUUGGCAAUACACAUUUUCUAGCUCAACUCAAUUUAUUGGAAAGAUGACCACCAUAAGAGAUUGUUGACAUGUCAAAGUUAUGUAGUUAAUCACUCAAAGUCAUGCAGUAUGUUUACAUUUGUUCUUUGGUACAUGAGGAUAGUUAACCGAUACAGUAUCUUAAAGAAAAAAGUGAUGGAAUGACAGCCAAAUAUGCUCUUGCCUCAAGAACUUUGCAUUUGCUGUACUCUCUGCCUUGAACACCACUCUGUCAUUGCCCUUUUUCCUUCAGGUGUUUGCCAAAUUAACACCAAAGAGCCUCAUAUAGACUAACAUAUAUACACAUUCUGUCUCACCCUCUUUUUUUUGUUAGAUACAUUGUCUUACUCUGUUGUUCAGGUUCUAGUGCAAUGAAUGUUGCAAUCAUAGCUCACUGCAGCCUCAAUCUCCCAGGCUCAAGCGAUCCUCUCACCUCAGCCUGGGCUCAAUUGAUCCUCCUGCCUCAGCCUCCUGAGUAGCUGGGACUACAGACAUGCCACCACGCCUGGCUAAUUAUUUUUUGUAGAGACAAGGUCUUGCUAUGUUGCCCAGGCUGGUCUCAAACUCUUGGCCUCACACGCUCCUCCCACCUCAGCCUUCCAAAGUACUAGAAUUAGAGGUGAGAGCCACCACACCCGGACAUACUAUAUUAUUGUCUCUCUCCAGUUAGAGUGUAAGCUCUUGGAGAGCAAGGUCUUGUCUAUUUUGUUCACUCUCAGAUACCCAGGACCUAAAACUGUGCCUGG
rnacentral:lncRNA from 10 species